rnacentral:SRP_RNA from 1 species
UAUGAGUGCCAUCGCGAUGGGAAUAUUCCGAACCAGGUCAGGACGGGAACGCAGCAGCCUUAAGGUUGAUCUCAUGUGCGAUGGUUUUAAUUAAUAUG